rnacentral:lncRNA from 1 species
UUGAAUAAAGAUCCAUUUGACUCAAAUACACAAUCACCUGCAAACCAAGUCAAUUGCCUUCUGACAUGCAUCUAAAAUGAAGAAACAAUAUUCAACAUGCCAUACUUCUAGUAAUAACCCAUUGAGGUACAUCAAGAAAUUUUCAAGGCAAAGCCCCAAAAUACAAAAUAUCGAGAAAUAAAAGGGGAGAAAACAAAAAAAGGGACAAGUCUUGAACCAAGAAAUCAAGAAGAACAAGAAGAAAGAUGCCCACAAGAUCAUAUCAUGCCUCCUACUAAGAUAUUCCAUCAUCAACCACAAUUAUUAAAACAAUAAAAAGCAUAUUAUUUUUCUUCUUCCUUUUUUGU